rnacentral:lncRNA from 1 species
GCUGGACGGGGAGAAGUGGAUCGACGGGCGCUUGGAGGAGCUGUACCGUGGCAGGGAGGCAGACAUGCCCGAUGAAGUCAACAUCGAUGAACUGCUGGAAUUAGAGAGUGAAGAGGAGAGAAGCCGGAAAAUUCAGGGACUCCUAAAGUCAUGCACGAACCCCACAGAGGUGAGCCCCAUUCUGCCCCCUGAUGGGGGGAGGGGGAGAGGUCUCUGGGGAGGAGGGAAGAAGCUGGCCCACGGCAGGCAGAGGGACGUCUGGGAGCCCUGCCUGUCACAGCCCUGUCCUCCCCUCCAGCGGUGUCUUUUGUCUUCCUCAUUCCUGUCCCCUCUCCCCCAUCUGCCACUGGGCUCCAUUAUCUCCUCUCCGCUGAGACCCCCCCAUCUGUCUCCCAUUUCUGCCUCUGCAGGGCUCUGUCUGCCGUCCCCUCUCCCCUGUUGCUACCUCUACCGCCCUGGGGCUCCCUUCCCCACCUCUGGGGGGGCCCCCCAUCCUUCCAGGCCCUGAAGCUGAGUGGCCCAACCCCUCCCACUUCCUUCCCUGCUUUAAAAGGGAAAAAUAUUCAUGUUUCUCUCACCAGCUCUGGGCUGCGUGGGGGACAAACGUCACCGGCUCAGGCCUCCGUCCCUGGGGACCCUCCUGGUGAUCUCUUGGCCUGAGAAAUAUCUCAGUGGCUCUCUGGCUCUGGUUCUUUGUCCCUUCGUCUUUCCCUCUGUCUCUAUCUCUGCAUCUGUUUCUUUCAGUCUCAGCUCCAAGUCUCCGUCUGUGUCUUUCUCUCCCCCCUCACGUUUCUCUGUCUUUGCAUCCAUGUCUCUCUCUCUCUUUUUUUUUUUUUUUGCUUUUCAGGGCUGCACCCGUGGCAUAUGGGGGUUCCCAGGCCAGGGGUCUAAUCAGAGUUCCAGCUGCCAGCCUACACCACAG